rfam:Oceanibulbus sp. HI0023 HI0023_c848, whole genome shotgun sequence.
UUUGGUGGUCAUAGCGCGAGCAAAACACCCGAUCCCAUCCCGAACUCGGCAGUUAAGUGCCG